ACCCUUCCCCGAGGCUGCCAGCUGGCUGUGCUGCUGUGGGUUCUGAGGUCCAAGGUGGUGUCCCGUUUCUGCUCCUCAGGAGGGUGCGGGCGCCUUUUGCCAUAACCUGCCCUGACCGUCAUGGCUGUGGGGAGUGAUUUCCGUAUCUUCUCCCUUCACGUGGGCCAGCCUUCUGUGGCCAGGAAGAGCCCUCCCGUCGGUUACUGAUUAGUAACCUGCCUAAGCUGUUCGGCUCAAUGUCUCAACAUUAAGGCUAAAAUGCUAAGCAUGGCAUAGGCAGUAGGACUGCAAAAUGGACUGAACAGUUUGUGAACUUGGUCUUUUUGAUGCGGUGCAGUCUGGGAGAUUGGAAACCUGCAGGGUUUUAUUCUAGGUACCAGAAAAGUGGCUAACGGAUGCCGUCCCCAAUGGGAAAUAAGCCAGUCCCGUGACAAAUCCUCGGAAGGGCAGCACACCGCACCCUUGUAUCCUCUGUGCUUUGCCUCCAGCUCUCUUGGGGACUAGUCUAGGCCACAUCACUCAAUCUGCUUUGAAGUUCCAUAAUCUUUAUUUUUAGAGUGAGAGGGAGGGAGAAACUGACUGGUCCCACUCACUUAUGCAUUCAUUGGCUGAUUCUUGUAUGUGCCCUGACUGGACUCGAACACACAACCUUGGCGUGUUGAAACGAUGCUCUAACUAAAUGAGCUACUGGGCCAGGGCUGAAGUUCCAUAAUCUUGAAACUGGAAUUAAAAAA